rnacentral:rRNA from 1 species
UACGGAGGGUGCAAGCGUUAUCCGGAAUCACUGGGUUUAAAGGGUGCGUAGGCGGUCUGAUAAGUCAGUCGUGAAAUCGCUGGGCUUAACCCAUGCAACUGCGAUUGAUACUGUGAGACUUGAAUGGGGUUGAGGCUGGCGGAAUGUGGCAUGUAGCGGUGAAAUGCUUAGAUAUGCCAUAGAACACCAAUUGCGAAGGCAGCCAGCUGGGCCUUGAUUGACGCUGAGGUGCGAAAGCGUGGGGAUCAAACAGG